CGGACGGGUGAGUAAUGUCUGGGAAACUGCCUGAUGGAGGGGGAUAACUACUGGAAACGGUAGCUAAUACCGCAUAACGUCGCAAGACCAAAGAGGGGGACCUUAGGGCCUCUUGCCAUCGGAUGUGCCCAGAUGGGAUUAGCUAGUAGGUGGGGUAACGGCUCACCUAGGCGACGAUCCCUAGCUGGUCUGAGAGGAUGACUAGCCACACUGGAACUGAGACACGGUCCAG
rnacentral:rRNA from 1 species